rnacentral:RNase_P_RNA from 1 species
AGAGAGGGCUAGAGGGCCGCACGGGAAGGAAAAUUCCGUGAGGAAAGUCCGGACUCUAUAGGGCAGACCACUGAGGAAAUCUCAGCAGGGGAGACUCUGGGAAAGUGCAACAGAGAGUAGACCGCCUAAGGUGUAUAACCGGUAAGGGUGAAACGGUGGUGUAAGAGACCACCAGCGGUCCGGGUGACCGGGCCGGCUCGGUAAACCCUGGUCAGAGCAAGGUCAAAUAAGAGGGCGCGUUGAGGGUUGCCCGCCCAAGCCUUCGGGUAGACCGCACAGAUAGAUGGCCCCCCACGACAGAAUCCGGCUUAUUGCCCUCUCUUUGC